rnacentral:rRNA from 1 species
GAUGAACGCUGGCGGCGUGCCUAAUACGUGCAAGUCGAGCGAAUGGAUUAAGAGCUUGCUCUUAUGAAGUUAGCGGCGGACGGGUGAGUAACACGUGGGUAACCUGCCCAUAAGACUGGGAUAACUCCGGGAAACCGGGGCUAAUACCGGAUAACAUUUUGAACCGCAUGGUUCGAAAUUGAAAGGCGGCUUCGGCUGUCACUUAUGGAUGGACCCGCGUCGCAUUAGCUAGUUGGUGAGGUAACGGCUCACCAAGGCAACGAUGCGUAGCCGACCUGAGAGGGUGAUCGGCCAGACUGGGACUGAGACACGGCCCAGACUCCUACGGGAGGCAGCAGUAGGGAAUCUUCCGCAAUGGACGAAAGUCUGACGGAGCAACGCCGCGUGAGUGAGGAAGGCUUUCGGGUCGUAAAACUCUGUUGUUAGGGAGGAACAAGUGCUAGUUGAAUAAGCUGGCACCUUGACGGUACCUAACCAGAAAGCCACGGCUAACUACGUGCCAGCCGCCGCAGUAA